GGUGGGACUAGGAGUCAAGGAGGAUUCUGGGAAAGGUAGGAGAAAGUGCAGAGUCACCAUGUGAGCCUGGAAAGACAGGACGCUUGUUGAUGACAUUCAAUAAGCAGUGGGACCUGGCAAAACAAGGGAAAAUCCAGCAAUACUCCUGCCUCCAGAAUCUUGCCCUAUUUGAGUUCCUGUCCUGACUUCCUUCAGUGAUGAACAGCAACAUAAAAGUCCUAGAUGCCCCUCAACCGAAGAAUGGAUGGAGAAAAUGUACAUUUACACAAUGGAGUACUACUCAGCAGAAAAAAAAAAAAAAACAAUGGAAUCUUGAAAUUUGCAGGAAAAUGGAUGGAACUCGAAGAAACCAUUCUGAGCAAGGCCUCAAUAUUAUUCUCAAAAGAUGGAAGAGUCACAUACCUUGGUGCCCAGCAGCUGCUUCUUUGUCCUGCUGGAAUUGAGAGUCUCUACUGGAUCCUCUUGGACUUUAUACAAUGGAAUCCCUGUAUUACUAACACUAAGUUCUUCUUGGUUAAAUAGUAUUUUGUUUCAUGCCUGAAUAAUACCACUCUGACUUCCAUUGUGGUAUGUCUGAUGCUGUGAUGCUUUCAUGGAGUUAACUUGGCAGUUUAUAAAUAAAACUUUAUGUUUCAGAGUUCUGGGGGCUCAGAAAACCUGAAUCAAGGCAUUGUGAGAAUGUCUGUUGUGGGCUCCCUUCCUGCUUCAAGGACCUUGUCUGGUUGCUGUGUCUUCACACAAAGGAGGGAACAGAAAACCACCACGAACCCUCAUUUAUACAUGUAUUUCAUUCACAAAAAGAAAUCC
rnacentral:lncRNA from 1 species